GGGGGGGGGCUAUACAUGCAGUCGAACGCUUCUUUUUCCCACCGGAGCUUGCUCCCACCGGAAAAGAGGAGUGGCGAACGGGUGAGUAACACGUGGGUAACCUGCCCAUCAGAAGGGGAUAACACUUGGAAACAGGUGCUAAUACCGUAUAACAAUCGAAACCGCAGGUUUUGAUUUGAAAGGCGCUUUCGGGUGUCGCUGAUGGAUGGACCCGCGGUGCAUUAGCUAGUUGGUGAGGUAACGGCUCACCAAGGCGACGAUGCAUAGCCGACCUGAGAGGGUGAUCGGCCACAUUGGGACUGAGACACGGCCCAAACUCCUACGGGAGGCAGCAGUAGGGAAUCUUCGGCAAUGGACGAAAGUCUGACCGAGCAACGCCGCGUGAGUGAAGAAGGUUUUCGGAUCGUAAAACUCUGUUGUUAGAGAAGAACAAGGAUGAGAGUAACUGUUCAUCCCUUGACGGUAUCUAACCAGAAAGCCACGGCUAACUACGUGCCAGCAGCCGCGGUAAUACGUAGGUGGCAAGCGUUGUCCGGAUUUAUUGGGCGUAAAGCGAGCGCAGGCGGUUUCUUAAGUCUGAUGUGAAAGCCCCCGGCUCAACCGGGGAGGGUCAUUGGAAACUGGGAGACUUGAGUGCAGAAGAGGAGAGUGGAAUUCCAUGUGUAGCGGUGAAAUGCGUAGAUAUAUGGAGGAACACCAGUGGCGAAGGCGGCUCUCUGGUCUGUAACUGACGCUGAGGCUCGAAAGCGUGGGGAGCAAACAGGAUUAGAUACCCUGGUAGUCCACGCCGUAAACGAUGAGUGCUAAGUGUUGGAAGGUUUCCGCCCUUCAGUGCUGCAGCUAACGCAUUAAGCACUCCGCCUGGGGAGUACGACCGCAAGGUUGAAACUCAAAGGAAUUGACGGGGGCCCGCACAAGCGGUGGAGCAUGUGGUUUAAUUCGAAGCAACGCGAAGAACCUUACCAGGUCUUGACAUCCUUUGACCACUCUAGAGAUAGAGCUUCCCCUUCGGGGGCAAGUGACAGGUGGUGCAGGGGUGUCGUCACCUCCUGUCGUGAGAUGUUGGGUUAAGUCCCGCACCAACGCACCCCUUAUUGUUAGUUGCCACCAUUUAUUUGGGC
rnacentral:rRNA from 1 species